rnacentral:rRNA from 1 species
GAUGAACGCUGGCGGCGUGCUUAACACAUGCAAGUCGAACGGAAAGGCCCAAGCUUGCUUGGGUACUCGAGUGGCGAACGGGUGAGUAACACGUGGGUGAUCUGCCCUGCACUUCGGGAUAAGCCUGGGAAACUGGGUCUAAUACCGGAUAGGACCACGUCUUGGAUGUUGUGGUGGAAAGUUUUUUCGGUGUGGGAUGAGCUCGCGGCCUAUCAGCUUGUUGGUGGGGUAAUGGCCUACCAAGGCGUCGACGGGUAGCCGGCCUGAGAGGGUGUACGGCCACAUUGGGACUGAGAUACGGCCCAGACUCCUACGGGAGGCAGCAGUGGGGAAUAUUGCACAAUGGGCGCAAGCCUGAUGCAGCGACGCCGCGUGGGGGAUGACGACCUUCGGGUUGUAAACUCCUUUCGCUAGGGACGAAGCGUUUUUGUGACGGUACCUGGAGAAGAAGCACCGGCUAACUACGUG